GCCGGACUUCAUUCCACAGAUGUGCUUUAACAAAGUGUGAAGCUGAACUCUGAGCUGUGACAGUGUGAGCAGUGUGAGAGUGUCAGUAGAUGAUCAGCAGAGGAAAGUGAGAGCUGCUGUGAGCUGAUGUCCUGAAGGGCUUUUAAAGAGUCUCUGAGUUUGACAGGAACAUGAAGAUGUUUGUGGUGUUUGUGAUCCUCCUGCACGUUUCCCAGCAUGCCUCAGCUGUGGAGAUGUAUGAGGGGGACUCGUUCAUCCUGCCCUGUCAGUUUCCCACUUUUAAUUUUCCAAACCCCUCAGUGGUGUGGAGUCACUCCGACCUCAGUCCUCCAACCGUCCACCAGCGUCAGCUUGAAGGAGACGAACUGAAAGAUCAAAACCAGCGUUACAGCGGCCGAACAUCCAUGAAGACUGACGCUCUGGAAACUGGAGACCUCAGCCUGACCCUGACCAACCUCCAACUGUCUGACAGCGCCACCUACACCUGCUCCAUCAGAGACUUUGGACGUGAACUGAGUCGGAGUGAUGUACAGCUGGAGGUCAAAGAACGGUUUCCAUCCUGGGCCAAAGCUCUCCUGGUUCUCCUGGUUCUUCUUGUGGUUUCCGGAGGACUUUUAUUUCAUUUCCGGCACUAUUUCAUGUCAGUCCCCUGGGUGGAGGUGGAUUCAGGGGUGGAGUCUGUCCAGCUGAUCUGCAAAACCACAGUUUGCCUGCCUAAAGAUGAUAAAGUGGAGUGGAAGGACAAAAACAACAGGAAGGUCCACGUGUAUGAGAACGGCUCUGACCAGCCUGAAGAACAGGACGAUAAAUACAAGAACCGAACGAAGAUGAAGAGGAAGGUCCUGGAACCUGGAGACCUCAGUCUGACCCUGAAAUACCCCACAGAUGGAGACAACUCCACCUACACCUGCACCGUCUACAGCAGGGAGGGAAACACCCUGAUGGAGAAACAAGUGGAGCUGAAAGUCAGAGUCCCCCAGGUGGAGGUGGAUUCAGGGGUGGAGUCUGUCCAGCUGCCCUUCAACACCACACUUCACCUGCCUGAAGACACUAAAGUGGAGUGGAUGGAAAGUUACAGGAAGGUCCACGUGUAUGAGAACGGCUCUGACCAGCCUGAAGAACAGCACCAGGAUUACAGAGACCGAACGAAGAUGAAUGAAGACCUGCUGAAAACUGGAGACCUCAGUCUGACCCUGAAAUACCCCACAGAUGGAGACAACUACACCUACACCUGCACCGUCUACAGCAGGGAGGGAAACAUCCUGCUGAAGAGAAAGGUGGAGCUGAAAGUCAGAGUCUGUCAGGUGGAGGUGGAGGAGGGGGCGGAGUCUGUCCAGCUGCCCUUCAACACCACACAAAACCUGCCUGAAGAUGCUGAAGUGGUGUGGUGGCAUUAUGAUCCAUUAAUGUUGGCCCACCUAUAUAAGAACGGCUCUGACCAGCCUGAAGAACAGCACCAGGUUUACAGAGACCGAACGAAGAUGAAUGAAGACCUGCUGAAAACUGGAGACCUCAGUCUGACCCUGAAACACCCCACAGAGAGAGACAGUGGGAGAUACAGGUGUAGAGUCUACAUUGAGAGGAUCUCCAGAUUCAAAACAGUGCUGCUCAAGGUCAAAGGGAGAGUUCAGGUCCAGGAUCAAACAGGGGACAUCAGGAACAGAAGCAGCUCCAUUGAUCCGACUCCUCUGAUGGCUGAUCAAUCAGUUUGAUCUGUGUGUUCUUUGAUUAUUGAUCAGUGAUGUCAGAGUGGAGUCAGUGUGAUGUUGUUGUUGUGUGUUUGAGACUUUUAGUGUCCAUGAAGGUCUCUGCUGCCGUAGAUCCUCUGAACUGUGACAGAGGUCUCACUCUGGAGGAAACUCUCAGCACUUUCCAGCAGCUCCUCCAUCAUGGAGGACGUUCCCUCACUGUAACAGGUGGAGGAGAGAGGAGAGGAAGCACAGGUGGAUCCUCUGAGGAAGAGGAGCGUUCCUACAAACCACAUGAUCACAUGACCAGAGGGGCGUGGCCUUCAGUGGUAGUAAUAAAGGAACAGUCCACAUGUUCCUCUUUGAAGGCUCAUCUCCAACAAAGCAGACCUGUGAUCACUUUACAGUUUUUUGUUGUUGUUUUUUUUACAGACGCUAGGACACAUUUCUCAAUACUUAGGUCACUUUUGCAAAACUCUUCACACAAUUCUCCUAACUGACCCUCAGCUUGGCAAAGCAGUUCAUUUCACAUUCAAAAUGCACUACAACUACCAAAACACUUUAUUCAGGUCUCAAAUAAACUCAUUCUUCCAGAACACUAGCAAAGGUUGACAGCCAACAAACACACUUUGUCACCCACAAAACAAUGACCUAAAAAACACUAACAACAUGUAGCAUUACACAGUGUUUUCUUGUGUAAAACAGGGACACAUCUCUGUUCAUAAUUUCAAUAUAUGUUACUGGAAUGAAUCAGACAUCAUGCAGAAUUCGUUAAUAUUUGUUUAUGUAUUUUUAUUUUUUUGCACUAAGUAAUCCCAAAAUACAAGAAUUUGUAUACACACCAUCCACUGAUACACAUACAAUAGUAAUGCUAAUCUACUCGGUCUUCUCCAUUUGGCCACAGGUUCUCAUCCACAUCACAUCUUAUGUCAUCUAGGGCAAUACACCUAGGAAAGAAUCUUCUGGCAUGCCUGAUCCAUCCCUGGCAAUCUUCUGCUGAUAUCUCCAGGCAUCCAGCAUUCAUUGCAUCCAGGAGGGACAUUUGAUCAUGUGGAUGAUGGUCGUAAACCUUCCACCGCCAUGAGGAAAAGAAUUCCUCUAUGGGGUUGAAGAAUGGAGAGUAAGGUGGGAGGAAAAGAGACUCCAUUCUGGGAUGGGCUGCAAACCACUCGGUGACUGCACGGGAGUGAUGAAAUGCCACCUUGUCCCAUACAAUUAUAAAUGUUGGCUGAUUCCUUCUAGAGAUGGACCGAUCCGAUAUUACGUAUCGGUAUCGGUCCGAUACUGACCUAAAUUACUGGAUCGGAUAUCGGAGAGAAAUAAAAAAUGUAAUCCGAUCCAUUAAAUAUCAAAAAAACACCUCACAAAACUUGCCACACGGCGUAACUCUGCUCAUAACCGUAGCACGUCAGAGCAGUGUGCUCACGUGAUAGAGAGGCUGUGUGUAUUUGUAGCCUCGCUACCAAACCAGCAUUUCAUCUCCGAGGAAGUUAUCCCAGAGAGAAGUAAAGCAAGUGUGUAAGUUCAUCUCUGAAUGUUUAUAAAGCGUUCCCACGUUAAGCUUAACAACCGAUAUAUGGAGCGACUGCCUCUCUCCCUCACCUUCCUGCUGCUACUUCAAUGGUGAAACUGCUUAAUGAUCAGCUGAUGGGCUUUUCUGUCGCGAGUCCGUCUCUCUUCUUUGUAUUUGGUCCACUUUGCACCAGAAAGAGGAAACCAGCGGCUGAACAACAGCAGCACGUUUAACCUUGAUAAGCUGUUGUUAGAAUUUAUUUAAUAUUACUUUCUACACCAGGAUCCUUUUCUACGUAGCUGACGGCUGGUAACUGUGCAGGGGCGGAUCUAGCAAAGUUUAAGCAGGGGGGCCGAUAGGGCAUGAACAGGGAAAAGGGGCACAAAGACAUACUUCUCUUUCUUAUUCUCAUUUAAAAUGUCUAGCUUUUAAUAAAUAAUUAUCUGAAUCUUACACCCAAAGUUUUAAUCUGAUGUAAAAUGUAUAGAAGUCCAUUACUGUAUAUAGUAACUGCUAAGUCUAAUUUACCCUAGUAAGCUAUAGUACUUUUUCCUUUGGGAAGGUACCAUCUGUGAAUUCUGCAAUUCUGUUGAAGAAAGAUGUUGAAUCUAUUUAAUUAUUCUUGAAAAAUAAUUUAUUUCUGUGCAUUUUUUUUCACCCUGCAUCAAAUUAAAGUUGAUUACGUCGAUUAAGCAUCAUGAGGUGGAGGGUGGAGGGUGGUUCCCCAUUUUCUUUUGCUGCACUGUAAAAUGUAAUUCUAGAUGUUUGUUAUUUCAACAUAUUAUUCUAUAUCAGUUUGACGAUAGAUGACUGAAGUUGUUGUUAUAACAUAGAAUUACAAGUUAAAACGUCCCAAUUACACCAAAAAGCUAACUUGAAAACUCAUGUCCAGCUAAAUCAGCAACUUAUGUGAACUUGACAAUGUGGGUAAGUUGAG
ensembl:lncRNA